rnacentral:tRNA from 1 species
ACGUCGGUCGUUUAGCUCAGUUGGUUAGAGCGUGGUGCUAAUAACGCCAAGGUCGCGAGUUCGACCGUACGUUCCUCCCACACCCUCCCGACGCU